rnacentral:rRNA from 1 species
UACGUAGGGGGCAAGCGUUGUCCGGAAUCAUUGGGCGUAAAGAGCGUGUAGGCGGCCCGGUAAGUCCGCUGUGAAAGUCCAGGGCUCAACCCUGGGAUGCCGGUGGAUACUGUCGGGCUCGAGUCCGGAAGAGGAGUGUGGAAUUCCUGGUGUAGCGGUGAAAUGCGCAGAUAUCAGGAGGAACACCAAUGGCGAAGGCAGCUCGCUGGGACGUGACUGACGCUGAGGAGCGAAAGCGUGGGGAGCGAACAGG